GGUUAAGCGACUAAGCGUACACGGUGGAUGCCCUGGCAGUCAGAGGCGAUGAAGGACGUGCUAAUCUGCGAAAAGCGCCGGCGAGGUGAUAUGAACCCUUGACCCGGCGAUGUCCGAAUGGGGAAACCCAGUGUGUUCCGACACACUAUCGUUAACUGAAUACAUAGGUUAACGAGGCGAACCGGGGGAACUGAAACAUCUAAGUACCCCGAGGAAAAGAAAUCAACCGAGAUUCCCCCAGUAGCGGCGAGCGAACGGGGAGCAGCCCGGAGUCUGAAUCAGCUUGUGUGUUAGUGGAACGGUCUGGAAAGUCCGACGGUACAGGGUGAUAGUCCCGUACACGAAAACACACUUGCUGUGAACUCGAAGAGUAGGGCGGGACACGUGGUAUCCUGUCUGAAUAUGGGGGGACCAUCCUCCAAGGCUAAAUACUCCUGACUGACCGAUAGUGAACCAGUACCGUGAGGGAAAGGCGAAAAGAACCCCGGCGAGGGGAGUGAAAAAGAACCUGAAACCGUGUACGUACAAGCAGUGGGAGCCUCUUUAUGGGGUGACUGCGUACCUUUUGUAUAAUGGGUCAGCGACUUAUAUUCUGUAGCAAGGUUAACCGUAUAGGGGAGCCGAAGGGAAACCGAGUCUUAACUGGGCGUUAAGUUGCAGGGUAUAGACCCGAAACCCGGUGAUCUAGCCAUGGGCAGGUUGAAGGUUGGGUAACACUAACUGGAGGACCGAACCGACUAAUGUUGAAAAAUUAGCGGAUGACCUGUGGCUGGGGGUGAAAGGCCAAUCAAACCGGGAGAUAGCUGGUUCUCCCCGAAAGCUAUUUAGGUAGCGCCUCGUGAACUCAUCUUCGGGGGUAGAGCACUGUUUCGGCUAGGGGGCCAUCCCGGCUUACCAACCCGAUGCAAACUACGAAUACCGAAGAAUGUUAUCACGGGAGACACACGGCGGGUGCUAACGUCCGUCGUGAAGAGGGAAACAACCCAGACCGCCAGCUAAGGUCCCAAAGUCAUGGUUAAGUGGGAAACGAUGUGGGAAGGCACAGACAGCCAGGAUGUUGGCUUAGAAGCAGCCAUCAUUUAAAGAAAGCGUAAUAGCUCACUGGUCGAGUCGGCCUGCGCGGAAGAUGUAACGGGGCUAAACCAUGCACCGAAGCUGCGGCAGCGACGCUUAUGCGUUGUUGGGUAGGGGAGCGUUCUGUAAGCCGUUGAAGGUGUGCUGUGAGGCAUGCUGGAGGUAUCAGAAGUGCGAAUGCUGACAUAAGUAACGAUAAAGCGGGUGAAAAGCCCGCUCGCCGGAAGACCAAGGGUUCCUGUCCAACGUUAAUCGGGGCAGGGUGAGUCGACCCCUAAGGCGAGGCCGAAAGGCGUAGUCGAUGGGAAACAGGUUAAUAUUCCUGUACUUGGUGUUACUGCGAAGGGGGGACGGAGAAGGCUAUGUCAGCCGGGCGACGGUUGUCCCGGUUUAAGCAUGUAGGCGGAGGUUCCAGGUAAAUCCGGUACCUUUUAACGCUGAGGUGUGAUGACGAGGCACUACGGUGCUGAAGUGAUAAAUGCCCUGCUUCCAGGAAAAGCCUCUAAGCAUCAGGUAACACGAAAUCGUACCCCAAACCGACACAGGUGGUCAGGUAGAGAAUACCAAGGCGCUUGAGAGAACUCGGGUGAAGGAACUAGGCAAAAUGGUGCCGUAACUUCGGGAGAAGGCACGCUGAUAUGUAGGUGAAGCCCCUGCGGGCGGAGCUGAAAUCAGUCGAAGAUACCAGCUGGCUGCAACUGUUUAUUAAAAACACAGCACUGUGCAAACACGAAAGUGGACGUAUACGGUGUGACGCCUGCCCGGUGCCGGAAGGUUAAUUGAUGGGGUUAGCGGCAACGCGAAGCUCUUGAUCGAAGCCCCGGUAAACGGCGGCCGUAACUAUAACGGUCCUAAGGUAGCGAAAUUCCUUGUCGGGUAAGUUCCGACCUGCACGAAUGGCGUAAUGAUGGCCAGGCUGUCUCCACCCGAGACUCAGUGAAAUUGAACUCGCUGUGAAGAUGCAGUGUACCCGCGGCAAGACGGAAAGACCCCGUGAACCUUUACUAUAGCUUGACACUGAACACUGGUCCUUGAUGUGUAGGAUAGGUGGGAGGCUUUGAAGCGUGGACGCCAGUCUGCGUGGAGCCGUCCUUGAAAUACCACCCUUUAAUGGCUGGUGUUCUAACGUAGACCCGUGAUCCGGGUUGCGGACAGUGUCUGGUGGGUAGUUUGACUGGGGCGGUCUCCUCCCAAAGAGUAACGGAGGAGCACGAAGGUUGGCUAAUCCUGGUCGGACAUCAGGAGGUUAGUGCAAUGGCAUAAGCCAGCUUGACUGCGAGCGUGACGGCGCGAGCAGGUGCGAAAGCAGGUCAUAGUGAUCCGGUGGUUCUGAAUGGAAGGGCCAUCGCUCAACGGAUAAAAGGUACUCCGGGGAUAACAGGCUGAUACCGCCCAAGAGUUCAUAUCGACGGCGGUGUUUGGCACCUCGAUGUCGGCUCAUCACAUCCUGGGGCUGAAGUAGGUCCCAAGGGUAUGGCUGUUCGCCAUUUAAAGUGGUACGCGAGCUGGGUUUAGAACGUCGUGAGACAGUUCGGUCCCUAUCUGCCGUGGGCGCUGGAGAAUUGAGGGGGGCUGCUCCUAGUACGAGAGGACCGGAGUGGACGCAUCACUGGUGUUCGGGUUGUCAUGCCAAUGGCACUGCCCGGUAGCUAAAUGCGGAAGAGAUAAGUGCUGAAAGCAUCUAAGCACGAAACUUGCCCCGAGAUGAGUUCUCCCUGAGACCUUGAGUCUCCUGAAGGAACGUUGAAGACGACGACGUUGAUAGGUCGGGUGUGUAAGCGCAGCGAUGCGUUGAGCUAACCGAUACUAAUGAACCGUGAGGCUUAACCUU
rnacentral:rRNA from 1 species